CCUAGGGACGCAGCAGUGAGGAAUAUUGGUCAAUGGGAGAGAUCCUGAACCAGCCAGGCCGCGUGAGGGAAGACGGCCCUACGGGUUGUAAACCUCUUUUGUCGGAGAACAAAACCCGGGACGAGUCCCGGACUGCGUGUAUCCGAAGAAAAAGCAUCGGCUAACUCCGUGCCAGCAGCCGCGGUAAUACGGAGGAUGCGAGCGUUAUCCGGAUUUAUUGGGUUUAAAGGGUGCGUAGGCGGUCCGUUAAGUCAGCGGUAAAAUUGCGGGGCUCAACCACGUCGAGCCGUUGAAACUGGCAGACU
rnacentral:rRNA from 1 species